rnacentral:lncRNA from 1 species
ACUGUGGGUCAUGCGUCUCGGGGCCAUGGUUGCGUACACUCGCACACACUCACACACACUCCCUCUCACACACACAUACACACACACACACACACACUACACACUACACUGUCUUAUCCCCCUUCUGCUUUAGCGGUCCAAGAGAGAAGGCUAGGCUCAAGCUCACACACCACACACACCCUCACUCACACUCAAACACAGUGAAUAGGGCGGUUGUGAGGACCGAAAACACUGCCGAGGAGAUCCAUCAUCUUUAAUCACGCGCGGGGCAGGAUUGCUUCAUCAUGCGCUGCGAUUGGUCAGGCAGGACAGGACAGGGCUGGCGUUUGCAUGAGCCCAAGAGAAGAGUGAUGUGCCAG